GGAUGAAUAUUGGACAAUGGGCGAAAGCCUGAUCCAGCAAUGCCGCGUGAGUGAUGAAGGCCUUAGGGUCGUAAAGCUCUUUUACCCGGGAUGAUAAUGACAGUACCGGGAGAAUAAGCUCCGGCUAACUCCGUGCCAGCAGCCGCGGUAAUACGGAGGGAGCUAGCGUUGUUCGGAAUUACUGGGCGUAAAGCGCGCGUAGGCGGUUAUUCAAGUCAGAGGUGAAAGCCCGGGGCUCAACCCCGGAACG
rnacentral:rRNA from 1 species